GAUGAACGCUAGCUACAGGCUUAACACAUGCAAGUCGGAGGGGCAGCAUGACGAUAGCUUGCUAUUGUCGAUGGCGACCGGCGCACGGGUGAGUAACGCGUAUCCAACCUUCCCCUUAGUAGGGCAUAGCCCGGCGAAAGUCGGAUUAAUACCCUAUGUUGUUCGUCGAGGACAUCUGAAGUGAACCAAAGAUUUAUCGCUAAGGGAUGGGGAUGCGUCCGAUUAGGUUGUUGGCGGGGUAACGGCCCACCAAGCCCCCGAUCGGUAGGGGUUCUGAGAGGAAGGUCCCCCACAUUGGAACUGAGACACGGUCCAAACUCC
rnacentral:rRNA from 1 species